GACGAACGCUGGCGGCGUGCUUAACACAUGCAAGUCAACUUGAAGUAGCAAUAUGGAUGGUGGCGAACGGGUGAGUAACGCGUAGAUAACCUGCCCCUUAGUUUGGGAUAACCUCGGGAAACUGGGACUAAUACCGGAUACUAUCUUUUGUCGGCAUCGACAGGAGAUGAAAGAUCUUGAAUCGCUAAGGGAGGGGUCUGCGUACUAUUAGAUAGUUGGUGAGGUAACGGCUCACCAAGUCAUUGAUAGUUAGCUGGUCUGAGAGGAUGAUCAGCCACACUGGGACUGAGAUACGGCCCAGACUCCUACGGGAGGCAGCAGUGAGGAAUAUUGCACAAUGGGGGCAACCCUGAUGCAGCAACGCCGCGUGAGUGAUGGAGCAGUUUAUCUGUGUAAAGCUCUGUUGGGAGGGACGAAUUGUAAGGUUAGUUGCCUUGCUUGACGGUACCUCCUGAGGAAGCUCCGGCUAACUCCGUGCCAG
rnacentral:rRNA from 1 species